rnacentral:lncRNA from 1 species
GAUCCUGGAACUCAGCCUGGAGGAACUCCCUCAGACAGCUUCCUUGAGAUGGUCACGUGCUACUUCCCUCCAAUUCACAGUGGAAACCCUCUCUUUUAAGAGAUAUGCAUAGUCCAGCAACUCAAAU